rnacentral:rRNA from 1 species
GAGGUAACGGCCCACCAAGGCGACGAUGGGUAGCCGGCCUGAGAGGGUGAACGGCCACAUUGGAACUGAGAAACGGUCCAAACUCCUACGGGAGGCAGCAGUGGGGAAUAUUGCACAAUGGAGGGAACUCUGAUGCAGCGACGCCGCGUGAACGAAGAAGGCUUUCGAGUCGUAAAGUUCUUUUAUAUGGGAAGAUAAUGACGGUACCAUAAGAAAAAGCCCCGGCUAACUACGUGCCAGCAGCCGCGGUAAUACGUAGGGGGCUAGCGUUGUCCGGAAUCACUGGGCGUAAAGGGUUCGCAGGCGGAAAUGCAAGUCAGGUGUAAAAGGCAUACUUAACUACUGUAAGCAUUUGAAACUGCAUAUCUUGAGAAGAGUAGAGGUAAGUGGAAUUUUUAUGUACCGGUGAAAUGCGUAAAUAUUAAAAAGAAUACCGGUGGCGAAGGCGACUUACUGGGCUCAUUCUGACGCUGAGGAACGAAAGCGUGGGUAGCAAACAGGAUUAGAUACCCUGGUAGUCCACGCUGUAAACGAUGAGUGCUAGGUAUCGGAAUAAUUCGGUGCCGCAGUUAACACAUUAAGCACUCCGCCUGGGGAGUACGUGCGCAAGCAUGAAACUCAAAGGAAUUGACGGGGACCCGCACAAGCAGCGGAGCAUGUGGUUUAAUUCGAAGCAACGCGAAGAACCUUACCAGGGCUUGACAUACUGAGGACCGGUAUAGAGAUAUACCCUCUUCUUCGGAAGCCUCAAUACAGGUGGUGCAUGGUUGUCGUCAGCUCGUGUCGUGAGAUGUUCAGUUAAGUCUGGCAACGAGCGCAACCCCUAUCUUUAGUUACCAGCAUUUCGGAUGGGGACUUCUAAAGAGACUGCCGAUGAUAAAUCGGAGGAAGGUGGGGAUGACGUCAAAUCAUCAUGCCCUAUAUGCCCUGGGCUACACACGUGCUACAAUGGAAGAUACAAAGGGGAAGCGAAAUAGUGAUAUUAAGCAAACCUCAAAAAGUCUUUCCCAGUUCGGAUUGUACUCUGCAACUCGAGUACAUGAAGAUGGAGUUGCUAGUAAUCGCAGAUCAGAAUGCUGCGGUGAAUGCGUUCCCGGGUCUUGUACACACCGCCCGUCACACCAUGGAAGCUUGUAAUACCCGAAGCCUGCGAGCAAACC